rnacentral:rRNA from 1 species
GUAGUCCUGGCUGUAAACGAUGUCGACUUGGAGGUUGUGCCCUUGAGGCGUGGCUUCCGGAGCUAACGCGUUAAGUCGACCGCCUGGGGAGUACGGCCGCAAGGUUAAAACUCAAAUGAAUUGACGGGGGCCCGCACAAGCGGUGGAGCAUGUGGUUUAAUUCGAUGCAACGCGAAGAACCUUACCUGGUCUUGACAUCCACGGAAGUUUUCAGAGAUGAGAAUGUGCCUUCGGGAACCGUGAGACAGGUGCUGCAUGGCUGUCGUCAGCUCGUGUUGUGAAAUGUUGGGUUAAGUCCCGCAACGAGCGCAACCCUUAUCCUUUGUUGCCAGCGGUCCGGCCGGGAACUCAAAGGAGACUGCCAGUGAUAAACUGGAGGAAGGUGGGGAUGACGUCAAGUCAUCAUGGCCCUUACGACCAGGGCUACACACGUGCUACAAUGGCGCAUACAAAGAGAAGCGACCUCGCGAGAGCAAGCGGACCUCAUAAAGUGCGUCGUAGUCCGGAUUGGAGUCUGCAACUCGACUCCAUGAAGUCGGAAUCGCUAGUAAUCGUGGAUCAGAAUGCCACGGUGAAUACGUUCCCGGGCCUUGUACACACCGCCCGUCACACCAUGGGAGUGGGUUGCAAAAGAAGUAGGUAGCUUAACCUUCGGGAGGGCGCUUACCACUCUGUGAUUCAUGACUGGGGUGAAGUCGUAACAAGGUAACCGUAGGGGAACCUGCGGCUGGAUCACCUCC